AGCCUGACGGAGCAACGACCGCGUGAGUGAAGAAGGUGCUUCGGAUGCGUAAAGCUCUGUUGUCGGGGACGAAAGAUAGACGAGGAAAUGCGUUUACUAAGACGGUACCUGACGAGGAAGCCACGGCUAACUACGUGCCAGCAGCCGCGGUAAUACGUAGGCGGCAAGCGUUGUCCGGAAUUAUUGGGCGUAAAGGGAGCGCAGGUGGGACGGUAAGUCCGUCUUGAAAGGCAGGGGCUCAGCCCCUGUAAGGGAUGGAAACUAUCGAUCUUGAGUGCCGGAGAGGAAAGCGGAAUUCCCAGUGUAGCGGUGAAAUGCGUAGAUAUUGGGAAGAACACCAGUGGCGAAGGCGGCUUUCUGGACGGCAACUGACACUGAGGCUCGAAAGCCAGGGGAGCGAACGGGAUUAAAUACCCCGGUAGUCCUGGCCGUAAACGAUGGAUACUAGGUGUCGGAGGUAUCGACCCCUCCUGUGCCGGAGUUACGCCAUAAGUAUCCGCCUGGGGGUACGGUC
rnacentral:rRNA from 1 species